UGCAAGAACCUUGUGAGGCAGGUCUUCUACUUUGGCGAUCACUCAUAACCGCGUAAGUUUGUCAUUCCAUAAACACAGUUUUAGCCUUAACAGUGAGUCUGUAAGUGACUGUGGAGGCCAAUUCUGGAUCUGCACAUCCUUCCACAGUGGGGACAUAGGUUUCCAGGGGGGAGUUCAUCAUGGUGAGGGUUUGCCAAGCGUGUCUUCCUCUUAGAACAUUUCUCCCUUUCAUCCUGAGUUCAAGCAUCUUCAAAGCCCAUGACACCUUUGGUAAGCACUGGAGUGCUCACAGGCCAGUGUUUCCCAGUUGUCGGUGUUUAUACUACAUUUUUAAAGAUUUGCCUUCAGAGAGUCUUUAACCCUCUUUUGUUGACUACCAGCAUUAUGCUUUCCAUUUCUUUCCAUUUCUAAGUUUGGAAUAGAGUACAGUGGUACCUUGGGUUACAUACGCUUCAGGUUACAUACGCUUCAGGUUACAGACUCAGCUAACCCAGAAAUGUACCUCGAGUUAAGAACUUUGCUUCAGAAUGAGAACAGAAAUCAUGCUCCGGCGGCAUGGCGGCAGCAGGAGGCCCCGUUAGCUAAAAGACAAAAAUUAAAUACUAUCACAAACUUAGAAGUGGAAGGAAAGAAUAUACAUAACCCAAUUGAGAUUAGAGACUGUUUCCAGAGGUAUUAUAAACAAUUAUACACACAAGGGCCACAGAAAGAAAUGGACAUAGACAAAUUUUUGAAGACAAAUGGACUACAAAAAUCUCCCAAGAAAGCAAAUUAAUGUUGAACUAUAAAAUAUCUGAACAGGAAGUAGAAGGUGCCAUUCAAAAUAUGCAAUUGGGCAAAUCUCCAGGACCGGAUGGGCUGACUUCUAGAUAUUAUAGAUCUUUGAAAGAGUGGCUAUUACAACCUUUGAAGGAAGUCUGUAAUGAAAUAUUGGAAGGAAAAGGGCACCAGAGUCGUGGAAAGAGGCGUACAUUACACUUAUACCGAAAACAGAGACUGAAAAGACUCAGCUUAAGAACUACCGCCCUAUAUCGUUACUUAAUGUGGAUUACAAAAUUUUUGCAGACAUUUUGGCCAAGAGAUUGAAAAAAGUAUUGAUGGAAGAGAUCCAUAAAGACCAAGCGGGCUUUCUCCCAGGAAGACACUUGUCUGAUAAUUUGAGAAAUAUAAUUGAUAUUUUGGAAAAACUAGAAGUGAAUAUAAACACUAAAGCAGUUCUGAUAUUUGUGGACGCGGAGAAAGCCUUUGACAACAUCUCUUGGAGCUUCAUGAAGAAGAACCUACAGGGGAUGGGGGUAGGCCAAGGUUUUGAAAAUGGUAUAGGUGCAAUAUACUCUGAACAAAAGGCUAAAUUAAUUGUAAAUAAUGUGGUGACGGAAGAAUUUAAGAUAGAAAAAGGGACACGACAGGGGUGCCCAAUCUCCCCACUGCUUUUUAUAUCGGUCCUGGAGGUUCUGCUGAAUAUGAUUAGAAGGGACCGGUUGGUUAAAGGUAUACAGGUCGGAGCCAAACAGUACAAACUGAGAGCAUUUGCAGAUGACUUAGUAUUGACGUUACAGGAGCCAGAAUCUAGUACUAAAAGGGUUUUAGAACUAAUUCAAGAAUUUGGUCAACUGGCAGGAUUUAAACUGAACAAGUUAAAAACUAAGGUUUUAGAGAAAAAUUUAACACUGAUUGAAAGAGAGAGGUUUCAGAAUGAGACAGGCCUGACUGUGGUUAAGAAAGUGAAAUACCUGGGGAUUAACAUGACAGCCAAAAAUGGGAACUUAUUUAAAGAUAAUUAUGAAAAAUGUUGGACGGAAGUGAAAAAAGAUUUAGAAAUCUGGUCAAAUUUGAAGCUUUCAUUGUUGGGUCGUAUUGCUGUGACAAAAAUGAAUGUAUUGCCUAGAAUGCUGUUUUUGUUUCAAACAUUGCAAAUUGUGGACAAGAUGGACUGUUUCAAGAAGUGGCAGAGAGAUAUUUCUAGAUUUGUCUGGCAGGGCAAGAAGCCCAGAAUAAAAUUUAAGAUAUUAACUGAUGCAAAGGAAAGGGGUGGAUUUGCCCUGCCAGACUUUAAACUUUACUAUGAAUCAGCAGCUUUUUGCUGGUUGAAAGAAUGGCUACUUCUUGAAAACACAGACAUUUUGGACUUAGAAGGUUUUAACAAUGUAUUUGGAUGGCAUGCAUAUCUGUGGUAUGACAAGGUCAAAGCGCAUAAAGCAUUUAAAAACCAUAUUGUCAGGAAAGCACUGUUUAAUGUUUGGAUAAGAUAUAAGGAUUUGUUGGAAAACAAAACUCCAAGGUGGCUGUCACCGAUGGAAGCGAAAGCUCUGAAAAGGCUCAAUAUGGAGGCCAAUUGACCGAAAUAUUGGGAAAUUUUGGAACAAGAUGGAGAUAGACUGAAACUGCAGAGUUUUGAGAAACUAAAAAUAAAGUGCGAGACUGGCUUCAUUAUUAUCAGAUAAUGGAGGCAUAUAAUUUGGACAAGAAAAUUGGCUUCCAGGUGGAAAAAUCAAAAUUAGAAACAGAACUGUUAGAACCCAAAACUAAGAAUUUGUCAAGAAUGUAUAACUUGCUGUUGAAAUGGAAUACUCAGGAUGAAACGGUGAAAUCUGCUAUGAUUAAAUGGGCACAAGAUGUUGAACAUAAUAUUAUGUUUGCUGACUGGGAACAGUUAUGGACCACAGGUAUGAAGUUUACAGCAUGUAAUGUCCUAAGAGAGAAUAUUAUGAAAAUGAUAUACAGGUGGUACAUGACCCCAGUCAAGCUUGCAAAAAUCUAUCAUUUGCCCAACAAUAAAUGCUGGAAAUGUAAAGAAACUGAAGGUACAUUCUUUCACCUUUGGUGGACGUGCCCAAGGAUUAAGGCCUUCUGGGAAAUGAUAUAUAAUGAACUGAAAAAGGUAUUUAAACAUACCUUUAUGAAGAAACCAGAGGCCUUUCUCCUGGGCAUAGUCGGCCAAUUGGUGCCAAAGAAGGACAGAACUUUUUUUAUGUAUGCCACAACAGCAGCAAGAAUACUCAUUGCAAAAUAUUGGAAGACACAAGAUUUACCCACUCUGGAAGAAUGGCAGAUGAAGGUGAUAGACUAUAUGGAACUGGCAGAAAUGACUGGCAGAAUCUGAGACCAGGCAGAAGAGUCGGUGGAAGAAGAUUGGAAGAAAUUCAAAGAUUAUCUACAGAAAUAUUGUAAAAUUAAUGAAUGUUAGAAUGAUGUUGGAUAGUAAUUAAGUGGUUUCCAGCUGUAAUGCUUUAAGGGAAUAUGAAAAAAAGGGUUAUAAAUAGGUAAAAAUUUAAUAUUAUUACUUUUAAAGGAUUUGCUGAACCAACAGAUUGAAGUGGAAUAAAAAAAAGGGAGGUAUGAGGAGGUCCGGGAAAUAAGUCAAAGGAAAAUAAGUAAUGGAAAAUCUGUGUGUUUUUAACUAUUUUUAUUUUGUAUUUUUGUCAUUUUUUUCCCUCCUUUUUUUCAUUUUUAUUGUAAUAUUUUAAAAAAUCUUAAUAAAUAUCUUAUGGAAAAAAAAAAGAACUUUGCUUCAGGAUGAGAACAGAAAUCGUGCUCCGGCGGCGCGGCAGCAGCAGGAGGCCCCGUUAGCUAAAGUGGUCUUAAGGUUAAGAACAGUUUCAGGUUAAGAAUGGACCUCCGGAACAAAUUAAGUACUUAACCCGAGGUACCACUGUAGUUGCUUUGGAAGACGAUAAUCAGGCAUCCGAACAACACAACCAGUCCAACAAAGUUGAUUUUGAAGAAUCAUUGCUUCGACACUGGUGAUCUUUGCUUCUUCCAGUACACUGGCAUUAGUUCGCUCGUCUUCCCAAGUGAUGUGUAAAAAUUUUCAGAGACACCGUUGAUGGAAUAUUUCGAGGGGUUGGAGAUGGCAUUUAUAAGUAGCCUAUGUUUCACAAGGGACGCGGGUGGCGCUGUGGGUUAAACCACAGAGCCUAGGGCUUGCUGAUCAGAAGGUUGGCGGUUCGAAUCCCUGCGACAGGGUGAGCUCCCGUUGCUCAGUCCCAGCUCCUGCCAACCUAGCAGUUCAAAAGCACGUCAAAGUGCAAGUAGAUAAAUAGGUACAGCUCUGGCGGGAAAGUAAACGGCCAGAAGUGGCUUAGUCAAGCUGGCCACAUGACCCGGAAGCUGUACGCUGGCUCCCUCGGCCAAUAAAGCGAGAUGAGCGCUGCAACCCCAGAGUCGGUCACGACUGGACCUAAUGGUCAAGGGUCCCUUUACCUUUACCUUUACCUUUAUGUUUCACAAGCAUGCAGUAAGGUUGGUAGUACAAUAGCUUUGUAAACAAGCAUUUUGGUUUUCCUGCGAAUGUCCCGGUGAGGCAGGUAAGGUGAUAGGCGGUAACUGGCCCAAGAUCACCCAGUUAACUUCUUGGCUGAGCAGGGCUUGCAAGAGAAGGACUUUAGCAGGAUGCAAGAAGCAUACUUUCUCUCCUGUUUGUUUCUAAGAAGGAAUAGCUCCACGCUUCAUCUGUAUGAAGAACCAAGCACUAAUCUUAUCGCUGUUUUUGGAAAUGGCUCUGCAAAAUUCCUCCCACUGACUUGUAUUGUUUGAAAGCCAGGAAGAGUUUUCUCAACGGCUGACAGCCCUUAUGCCAAGAUUUUUUGUGCGAGACAUCUUGGCAGCACACCAGCCAGCCUUGUACCUGAAAAGAAACAAGUUGCGACUCUCCUGCUGUAAAUUUUAUUCACCCAAUAGCACGGCUGCUGUUUUUAAAAACUGCACAGGCGAAGGCUAUCAUUGGCUGUAAUUAACUUAUUUAUGUCUUUAAACCUGAUGACAUUCUUCUAAGCUGAAUGUACCCUCAGGAGGCCCUCUCCACCCUGCAUUAGCAUUACCUGUGAAUUUUCCACACUCUAAACAUGAAGGUCAACACCCCGCCUCCCCAUAUAUCAGUGGGGGAAUACACAAGUUAAAACUUGCAUUGAAACAAAAGCAUUAAUUAAACAGAGACAAUAAGCAACUCUGAAGCGCGGUCUCAGUCUCUGCUACUGGGGAAGCAUGAUUUAUUCAUUCUCUGAGUAGAUUUGAGUAAGGAAUAUAUCUAAACAUCAUGCUAAUGACAUUUAAAACUUAAAAGAGAAUGCUUAGCAGGGCUUAAUUUAGCUGCAAGCAGUCUGGCUUAUAUCUAUGCUCAGACUAUCGCCUCACAAUUCAUGUUUGUUUAAUUGUCUGGAUCUCUUGAAAGGCUGAUUCCAAUUAAUCCAGCCAUGUUCUCUUCCCAGAAUUGCCUCUCAUCUAGAUAGACACUUCACAGAGGCUGCCCUGGAGUUCUUUUGCAGGAAAAAUAAGCCCCUGAAUCAGAUUUUGUAGCCCGCACAUUGGCGCUUUAAUGUAUGAACAAAUGUUGUAAAGAAACUUACAAGAUACAGUACAUUGUGCAGCUGUCAGAUUUAUGCAUGCAAGUGUGUAUACCUUGCCAUUUCUGUUCAAUCCCUCAUUGGCAGCACAAAGUGGUCUUAUUUUGUUUCUGUGGUUCAUUGCACAAAAUCUUGUUCAUUUCCUUUUCCUUUGUGCUAUCAAUGUCUGCAGCAAUUAUUUAUUUACAUUUGCAUCUCACCCUUCCUCCAACAAGUGCAGAGUGGGCUCCACAUUUUUUUUUUCCGUUUUAUCAUCAAAAAACUCAUGAGCUAAGCUGAGAAAUGGAGACUGAUCAGCCUAAUAUCAUGCAGGGAGAAGCCCCUCACUCACAACCUACAACUCUAUUAUCACACUGUCUUUCUCAGGGCAACUCCAGCCUGCUGGUAUUUUUGAACGGGAUCCAGCUACAUACCGGCAAGUUCAGAUUGCGCAAGUUGAUUUUGAGGUCAUGUGCAAUAAACCUGCUUUCUCAGAAGACCUGACCUUUCGUGAUAGAGAAGUACUCCAGAAAGUGUGGGAUAAUGUUUUUGUGUAAUAUCACAAGCAAAUCGGAACAAAUGCUCAAUAAAUAGCCAGUGUGAUCUAGCCUCCCUGAAAACAAAUCAGGAUGAAUGCUCAAUAAAUUGGUCAUUUGGAAGUGACCUUAGCCAACGAAUGACCGUUAGGUGGGAUGGAGCUAUGCCCAAUAAAACUUGCUUUAGAUGAUGUUUUGGGUGGCUUUGCUCAUGCCAGGGAUCUUCCUGAUUGAUGUCCUUAUUUAGGGGAAGAAAAUAUCCUGUCUUGUCCCCCUGUGGUCUGAUUCGCAAGAGAUCCUUGGGAUUUAUUGCUUUCCCUCUUUAUACAUACAUACAUACAGACAUACUUACUUGUAUGCCACCUUCACACAGUUCAAACCAUGAUCAAGGUGGCUUACUACAUGAUAAAAAUAUAUAUCAAAAGUUAGUUAU